UGAAAUUGAACUCGCUGUGAAGAUGCAGUGUACCCGCGGCAAGACGGAAAGACCCCGUGAACCUUUACUAUAGCUUGACACUGAACAUUGAGCCUUGAUGUGUAGGAUAGGUGGGAGGCUUUGAAGUGUGGACGCCAGUCUGCAUGGAGCCGACCUUGAAAUACCACCCUUUAAUGUUUGAUGUUCUAACGUGGACCCGUAAUCCGGGUUGCGGACAGUGUCUGGUGGGUAGUUUGACUGGGGCGGUCUCCUCCUAAAGAGUAACGGAGGAGCACGAAGGUUGGCUAAUCCUGGUCGGACAUCAGGAGGUUAGUGCAAUGGCAUAAGCCAGCUUGACUGCGAGCGUGACGGCGCGAGCAGGUGCGAAAGCAGGUCAUAGUGAUCCGGUGGUUCUGAAUGGAAGGGCCAUCGCUCAACGGAUAAAAGGUACUCCGGGGAUAACAGGCUGAUACCGCCCAAGAGUUCAUAUCGACGGCGGUGUUUGGCACCUCGAUGUCGGCUCAUCACAUCCUGGGGCUGAAGUAGGUCCCAAGGGUAUGGCUGUUCGCCAUUUAAAGUGGUACGCGAGCUGGGUUUAGAACGUCGUGAGACAGUUCGGUCCCUAUCUGCCGUGGGCGCUGGAGAACUGAGGGGGGCUGCUCCUAGUACGAGAGGACCGGAGUGGACGCAUCACUGGUGUUCGGGUUGUCAUGCCAAUGGCACUGCCCGGUAGCUAAAUGCGGAAGAGAUAAGUGCUGAAAGCAUCUAAGCACGAAACUUGCCCCGAGAUGAGUUCUCCCUGAGACUUAGAGUCUCCUGAAGGAACGUUGAAGACGACGACGUUGAUAGGCCGGGUGUGUAAGCGCAGCGAUGCGUUGAGCUAACCGGUACUAAUGAACCGUGAGGCUUAACCUUACAAC
rnacentral:rRNA from 1 species